rnacentral:rRNA from 1 species
UAAGGUAGCGAAAUUCCUUGUCGGGUAAGUUCCGACCUGCACGAAUGGUGCAACGAUCUGGGUACUGUCUCAACCAUGAGCUCGGUGAAAUUGUAGUUCCGGUGAAGAUGCCGGAUACCCGCAACGGGACGAAAAGACCCCGUGAACCUUUACUAUAGCUUCACAUUGGUAUUGGGUAAAUGAUGUGUAGGAUAGGCGGGAGACUUUGAAGCAGUGUCGCUAGGCAUUGUGGAGUCGUUGGUGAAAUACCGCCCUUUAUUUAUCUGAUGCCUAAUCCGCUAGUCGGAGACAGUGUGUGGUGGGUAGUUUGACUGGGGUGGUCGCCUCCAAAAGAGUAACGGAGGCUUCUAAAGGUACCCUCAGUACGCUUGGUAACCGUGCGUAGAGUGCAAUAGCAUAAGGGUGCUUGACUGUGAGACUAACAAGUCGAUCAGGGUCGAAAGACGGAUAUAGUGAUCCGGUGGUUCCGCAUGGAAGGGCCAUCGCUCAAAGGAUAAAAGGUACUCCGGGGAUAACAGGCUGAUCUCCCCCAAGAGCUCAUAUCGACGGGGAGGUUUGGCACCUCGAUGUCGGCU